rnacentral:lncRNA from 1 species
GUUGGCUGCUAAAUUCAGGCUGAUAGCUUGCAGCUGGAGAUUCUGAUUUCACUUACACAGAAGUGUGAAUCAAUGAUAUUUUCAUGAUGCCUUGAAGGAGGAAGGAAUAAGUCACUAUAAAAAGGCCUGUUUGGAGAGCCCUUACCAGUAUCUGUUCUCAUGGAAACGUGCAAACCUACUACCUCCUAUCACAGAAGAGUGGAGGGUCUGAACACAGGCAUGGCUGUCCAGUUCUUCUCAGUUUUCACCUUAGUUUUGAAAUAAAUUCCCUCUGCAUUUCCAACAGAGUGACCUUGCUUUGGUUUCUCCUGGUGUUGACAUUGCAUGGAUCUCUUGCAGUGACCGAUUACCUUUUCCUAUAUGUUUUCAAGACCAAAGGCUCCGAAACCGAUCUGCAGGCGGAGGRUUAAGUAAGUCCUGGAUUUUAAAGCAGCUCAUUUGUCAGCAAGAAUAGUUAUCUCCGUUGCUAAAAACCAGAGGAACAUUGACCGCGAGGCGCAGCGUGCCGGUGAGAAAGAGGGGUGUAAUCCCUCCGUCGUUUACCU